CAGUCGCCACGGUAAUACGUAGGGUGCAAGCGUUAAUCGGAAUUACUGGGCGUAAAGCGUGCGCAGGCGGUUCGCUAAGACAGAUGUGAAAUCCCCGGGCUUAACCUGGGAACUGCAUUUGUGACUGGCGGGCUAGAGUAUGGCAGAGGGGGGUAGAAUUCCGCGUGUAGCAGUGAAAUGCGUAGAGAUGUGGAGGAAUACUGAUGGCGAAGGCAGCCCCCUGGGCCAAUACUGACGCCCAUGCACGAAAGCGUGGGGAGCAAACAGGAUUAGAUACCCGGGUAGUCCCUGUCUCUUAUAC
rnacentral:rRNA from 1 species